CGCCAUUUCGUGCGACCCCCUGGGGCUUGAAGGAAGACGAAACGCGCUCGCCGGGAGGGAAGCCUUUCGGUGCUUUACGAGCCAAAUCCACGCAAGCCGUGUACGAGCUUUUUCCACGAAGUAUCCGCUCGAUAAGGAAGUCAUUUAUGGGACUAUCGUGUACCUUCCGAUAACGCGGGCGAAAGCAAUCGCAGACUGUUGCCUCGGCGAAGUCCUGUUCCGGUAGCAAGGUCCUCCUCGUUGCUCGACCCCAUGCCUGCCCAGCUGCUCUUCAAAAUACCUCCCCUCUCUGUUAAUGUUGGAUUACAACUAAAAAAAGACCUAGGCUAAAUUAGACCAAAGGGACGGACCCAAGGUGGAACUUCUCCUCUCCCUCUUGAUUUUUCUCACCGGAACUGGGGCUCUUAUCAAUGUAAAUAAAUAUUUAUCCUGGCGCAGGGGACCUUUAUGGAACGGAAGUCGCUCGGCAGUCCAGCCCGUCACGACACUAACCGGGAGUUCCGCGAUUAAGUUAACGCCGUCUACGUCCGAGGAUGACUAUCGACUGCUUGCGUUGCUUAACGUAGAGGACCGCGCGGAUCGACCAAUGGAAAUGAUAGAAAAAUGUCACGUGUGAGUGUCGGCUAAUAUGUUAUGAAGUAAUCUGUCGUCAAUGUCACCGGCGAGUUGCCUUCUCGCUAAGACCAGGGAGCAUAUUUCAUAACAGCGGAAAUCCCUCCCGGAAGCACCGAUUUCUACCUUCGGCGAUCGCUUAAAUCUAUCAUUCUCCUGCACCACCUCGUGACAUCCUCUAGACAUUCUGAAUUUCAGGCACAAAUUCUAAUCGGUUCCUACCGACCGAUUUCUACGAGAGAACCGCGCGUACUUAUUAACUUAAUUUAAUAUUUCGAGCUAUCAAACAUAUGGUAAAUAAGGAGAUCGAUUUGCGAAAAAUUCAGGAAUUUCGGAAAGAGAAACCCCGAAGAGUGACUCACUCUUCCUAUGCGUCGAACUCCCACUCGCGAUGGUUCUGGAGAUCUUCAGGCUUUAAAAUAGUCUCGGAUCGAAUAAAAGAAGAGAGCCCCUCGGCGACUGUUUAUGCCGGCUUAGGUACCAUUGAAAA